rnacentral:tRNA from 1 species
GCAUUGGUAGUUCACUGGUAGAAUUCUUGCCUUCCAUGCAGCAGACUCAGGCUCGAUUUCCAGCCAAUGCA